rnacentral:misc_RNA from 1 species
CAUCUCCAGGUCACCUCUAAAGUUACAUGUUUCUCUUUCUGAUUUCUACUCUCUUAAGCUUUCUGUUUGGUUCGCGAGAAAAGUCUUGAAAGUGAAGAUUGUGUAUCAAUGGGGAACACCUCUUCAGUGCUUACUCAAUAUGAUAUAGAAGAGGUUCAACGACACUGUCAUAAUCUAUUCUCCCAGCAAGAAAUAGUGUCCUUGUAUAAAAGAUUUUGCCAGCG